rnacentral:rRNA from 1 species
UACGUAGGGUGCGAGCGUUGUCCGGAAUUAUUGGGCGUAAAGGGCGCGUAGGCGGCCCGUCAAGUCCCGUGUGAAAGCCCCCGGCUCAACCGGGGAACGGCGCGGGAAACUAGCAGGCUUGAGUUCGGGAGAGGGAAGCGGAAUUCCGGGUGUAGCGGUGAAAUGCGCAGAUAUCCGGAGGAACACCGGUGGCGAAGGCGGCUUCCUGGACCGACACUGACGCUGAGGCGCGAAAGCUAGGGGAGCAAACGGG